CAACAACAACAACAGCAGUGGCAGUAGUUCGCGCACCAAUUGUUGUUGUUGCAGCAGUUUUGGUUAAACCCUUUGUGCCUCAACUGGAAGAUAAAAACAGCCCACAAUUUAAGGCACUUGAGGAGCAAGUGGUAGUAGUGUAUGAAUUCAUCUAUAGACGUCAAUAUGGUUUACUUUUCAGCCGUGUAAUUGUCAUAGCAUUCAGACAAGCUGGGAGCAAAACACGAGCAUCUAAUACUGAAGCAGAAGUGCAGGUUGUUUUUAACAACACAAUAACACCUACAGAAAUCCCACAGGCUGCAGAUGUUCAAAA